ACAGUUUGUCGAGAAUCGUGUCCGAAAGAUUCAAGCAAAACUAGAGAUCAAAUGGAGACACGUCCCCACGGAAGAAAACCCAGCAGACCUGGCAAGCAGGGGUGGUGAUGUUCAACACAAGGAGCUGUGGUGGAAUGGUCCUGAAUGGAUGGCCAACCCCGAGAAUUGGCCACAAGAUAUUGUAAGUCAGUCAUCUGCAGAGCCAAGCAGAAGCAAGAGUAACUAGAGAAAUUUUCGCAGGAGCUACAGAAACCAACCCCGACCAGCUAGAUCUUAUCCUUGAGCAUUACGAACUGACUAAAGCAAUAAGAAUCAUGGCAUGGAUAGCGAGAUUCAUUUACAACAGCCAACAUCCCAACGACGUCAUCCGAGGUCCACUAACAACCGAGGAACUAAUGUCCCAGCAUAGUUUUUGGAUCAAACGAGCGCAACAAAGCAACGACAACGAGAAAG